GAAACAGAAAAACUGAACUUGACUGCAACUGCAAACAAACUUAUAAACAUAAGAUUUCAUAGAGAAAACCUUAAACCUCUUUUGAGCAAAACAAGAAAUAUUUAAGAAAAUAAUGGAUACCACAAUGUAAUCAGGAUGGAAUACAAAGUCAAUUGUGCAUACCGGGUUAAUGCCUGAUCCACAUCACAUAUUCAAAAUUUGAAGUUUGGACUUGCCAGAAAUAAUAUAUACUCAGGUAAUUAACAUUAUAAUACGUAGAAUUGUAAAAUUUCUUUCAACCAAAUUGAUAAUUUCAAACAAUAGUUUCUCAAAGUACAAUUUCUAUGACUUUGUUCGAGGAGACCCUAACAAAAAUCAAGAUGUGAUAUGUGCUUUCCCUGUAGCGAUGUGUGGCCCAAUAUUUGCCCAAGCACUUUCUACACCUUUCCUGAACCGUAAAGGAGUUGAUCCUAUGACUGCAUAGUUCUGUCAGUCUUUCAUAACUGAACAUGAUGCACUUGACAAUGUAUAUAGAUUAACAUUUCAUUAUCCAGUAUCAACUUAAAAGAUUCGAUUAAAGCACUUACAAUGCCAUCCUACAGUAGUCAUAGAUGCUUACUUCUCUAAAGCUUUAGACAGGAUCAAUAAUCAUAGAUGCUUACUUCUCUAAGGCUUUAGACAGGAUCAAUAAAGGAUUCAAUGAUGCAUCAACUUU
rnacentral:misc_RNA from 1 species